rnacentral:pre_miRNA from 1 species
UGCUGCGGUGCAUUGUAGUUGCAUUGCAUGUUCCGGCGGCACCGUGCAAUGUUUCCACAGUGCAUCACAGAGGCCUG